UUAAAAUCCCCAAAUCACCCUUCCUUAUAUCCUUCAGCCUACGAAUCAGAACAAAUUGGGGCUUAGGGUUUAAACUAUUCUCAUGCGAUUCCUUCUUCGAUUCCUCUCUGCGAUACCUCACUGAAUACAUUCUGGAGAAGAUGAAGUUGUUCCGGGGAUGGGGCGUUGCUGACCAUAGGAAGUUCCAGCAAAAUAGGGGCUGUGAUUCUCCUUGGGUGUUCCUGCGAAAUAGGGGGCUGCGAUUCUCCUUCGCUGUUCCGGCAUUGGUUGGCAGGGGGCAGCGAUUCUCUGCAAUUUGAUUUACGACGUUAGCAGAUGACGACACCGCUGUCUGAAACGCAAUUUUGGAAGCAGAGGUAGUGGAGGGAUUAGAGGGAAGGACAGCCCAAGAUUGUGCAGGAAGAGAAGCUGGCUCAGAAGGUUGAAGAGGAGGUUUUUCACUCGAUCCUUUGCAGCCCAUCGUCUAAUUCCUGAAGUCCCGAAGAUAGGGUUGAUGGCACCAUUCCUAUAAUUCCUCCCCUCAAUGUAAAGACUUUGCGGGUCGAAAUAAACAGUACCAAUAAUGGGAAAAGGUUGUCUGAGCCCACUGCGUGAAACACACCAUAACCAGUACAUUGUUAACCGUCGGAUGAAAAGAAAAAAGAAAAAAUAUUAACCGUUCAA